GACGAACGCUGGCGGCGUGCCUAAUACAUGCAAGUAGAACGCAGUUGCGAACGGGUGAGUAACGCGUAGGUAACUGCCUGGUAGCGGGGGAUAACUAUUGGAAACGAUAGCUAAUACCGCAUACUACCAGCUGGACCUGCGUUGUAUUAGCUAGUUGGUGGGGUAACGGCUCCCCAAGGCAACGAUACAUAGCCGAACUGGGAGGGUGAUCGGCCAAACUGGGACUUGGAAACGGCCCAGACGCCUACGGGAGGCAGCAGUAGGGAAGCUUCGGCAAUGGGGGGAACCCUGACCGAGCAACGCCGCGUGAGUGAAGAAGGUUUUCGGAUCGUAAAGCUCUGUUGUUAAGGAAGCGGUACUUAACCAGAAAGGGACGGCUAACUACGUGCCAGCCGCCGCGGUAAUAC
rnacentral:rRNA from 1 species